rnacentral:rRNA from 1 species
CAGUAGCCACGGUAAUACGAAGGGUGCAAGCGUUAAUCGGAAUUACUGGGCGUAAAGCGUGCGUAGGCGGUGAGUUAAGUCUGCUGUGAAAUCCCCGGGCUCAACCUGGGAAUGGCAGUGGAUACUGGCUCGCUAGAGUGUGUCAGAGGAUGGUGGAAUUCCCGGUGUAGCGGUGAAAUGCGCAGAUAUCAGGAGGAACACCGGUGGCGAAGGCGGGUCUCUGGGCCAUUACUGACGCUGAGGAGCGAAAGCGUGGGGAGCAAACAGGAUUAGAUACCCCCGUAGUCCCUGUCUCUUAUAC